UAUGCAGGGUAAGCAAAGCCUGAAAACCAGAGGAUUAGAUCAAGAAGCGACCCUCAGCAGGGAAUCUUAGAUAACUCACCACCAUCACCAUAACAACAAUCACCUGGGCAGAGUCCUGGCCAUCCUGUGGCUUUGACUCUCCAAAGCUGAGGCUCAGAAACACAGCCAACCAGCUUCCCAGGGAAUUCAUCUGUUUCCCAGAGCUUGGGCAUGCUGAUCUUAACACUGCAUACAUGGAGGAGAGUGUGUGCCUGCCUGCCUGUGUGAGAAGUGCAUCCACAUGAGUGCUGGUGUCCACAGAGCUGGAGUUACAGACAGCGGCAAGCUGCCCCAUUGGGAUGGAAAAAUGGCUGAGUGAUUCACAUGAUUGCUGCCCAACUGUAAGGAAUGGACUUCAGGACCCCAGAAAUCCAUGGAAAUGCCCCAAAGGUUGGGGCUAGCCUCAGAAGGUGGAGAAGGAUUCCCAGAGCAAGACUAGCCAGCCACACAGGAUGAGACACCCCUCCCCUACUCCUCUACUCCCACCAUGGUGAUGUCGAGAACAUGAACGGGACCCUCUGAGACUGUGAACCAGAAGAGACCCUUCCAGUGGAGAGACGCUUCAGUCAGCAAAGCACUGGCUGUGUGAGCUUGAGGAAGGGCCUGAGUUCCAUCUGCAGCUCCUAUGUAUAGCAAGCCAGAAAGGUGGCGUGUGUGUAUGACCCCAGCAUUAGGGAGGUGGGGAUGGGUGGAUGCUGGGGGCUCUCUGGAUAGCUUGAUUUUUGAGACAAGAUCUCUUAGCAAACCUGGAACUCACUUUUUGACUAGACUGGCCAGUGGAUGGGGGUCUGCCUGUGUCAAGAUCCAACACUAGGAUUUACAGCCGUAUAUCACAUCAUCCAGCUUUUAAGUCGUGUUGAGGAUUUGAACUCAGGUCCUUGUGCUUGCCCACUGAGCCAUCUCCCAGGCUUCAAAUUGGGGUACUAUCUGUCAUCCUCAUGUUCAGUUUCUCUUGUUGGUUGGCAGGCCUGCCUCAAAUCAUGGAUCAUGGGCACCCAAUUGGAGGUUGAGUUCCAGGCUGAGAGUAGACCUUCAGUGACGUCGGGUUUGAGUGUGGGUGUCAUUUCUGAGUGUCAUUUCUAUUUGCUUUGAAAUCGGUCAGUUACUAAUCCUUUGCAGAUCAGAGAGUUGACAGGUAUCAGAGAACGGUGUCUUGAAAUGGCUGCGCAGGUCAGUUGGAUGAGGCUGAGAGCCACUGGCAGCACAGCUGAUCACAGACUGUAAAUACCUGGUGUCUGUGACACAAGGCUGCUGCCACUGCUGGCCUCAUGUUCACAGAC